rnacentral:rRNA from 1 species
AUACGGAGGAUCCGAGCGUUAUCCGGAUUUAUUGGGUUUAAAGGGUGCGCAGGCGGCCAUUUAAGUCAGCGGUUAAAUCGUGGGGCUCAACCCCAUUCUGCCGUUGAUACUGGGUGGCUUGAUUGCGGUCGAGGUUGGCGGAAUUCGUUGUGUAGCGGUGAAAUGCAUAGAUAUGACGAAGAACACCGAUUGCGUAGGCAGCUUACCAGACCGCAAAUGACGCUCAUGCACGAAAGUGCGGGGAUCGAACAGGAUUAGAUACCCUGGUAGUCCGCACAGUAAACGAUGAAUACUUGUUUUCGGCGAUAUAAUGUCGGAGGCAAAGCGAAAGCGAUAAGUAUUCCACCUGGGGAGUACGCCGGCAACGGUGAAACUCAAAGGAAUUGACGGGG